rnacentral:tmRNA from 1 species
GGGGGCGACAUGGCUUCGACGUGGGUCGCAAAACCUGAGGUGCAUGCCGAGGUGCGGGCUACCUCGUAAAACCAUCCGCAAAUCUAUAGUUGCCAACGACGACAACUACGCUCUCGCUGCUUAUACCUCGUAUAGGCACAGAUUGCGCCCUCUUAACCUAGCUCUGAGUAAGCCUCGUUAACCUGCUGUAUUUAUUUU